UACGUAGGGGGCGAGCGUUGUCCGGAAUCAUUGGGCGUAAAGGGCGUGUAGGCGGUUUUGUAAGUCAGAUGUGAAAACUUGAGGCUCAACUUCAAGCCUGCAUCUGAAACUACAUCACUUGAGGGCAGGAGAGGAAAGUGGAAUUCCAUGUGUAGCGGUGAAAUGCGUAGAUAUAUGGAAGAACACCAGUGGCGAAGGCGACUUUCUGGACUGAACCUGACGCUGAGGCGCGAAAGCCAGGGGAGCGAACGGG
rnacentral:rRNA from 1 species